UAGCUCAGUGGUAGAGUGCAUGCCUAGCAUGCACAAGGUCCUGGGUUCAAUCCCCAG
rnacentral:tRNA from 1 species